UCCCCGAUAGUCUAGUGGUGAGGAUAUCUGCUUGUCACUGCAGCCGCAGCAAAUCGCAGGGGACCGGGGUUCAAUUCCCCGUCGAGGAG
rnacentral:tRNA from 1 species